GGUCACCUACGGGGGGCAGCAGUGGGGAAUUUUGGACAAUGGGCGCAAGCCUGAUCCAGCUAUUCCGCGUGUGGGAUGAAGGCCCUCGGGUUGUAAACCACUUUUGUAGAGAACGAAAAGACACCUUUUAAUAAAGGGUGUUGCUGACGGUACUCUAAGAAUAAGUACCGGCUAACUACGUGCCAGCAGCCGCGGUAAUACGUAGGGUGCGAGCGUUAAUCGGAAUUACUGGGUGUAAAGGGUGCGCAGGCGGUUGAGUAAGACAGAUGUGAAAUCCCCGAGCUUAACUCGGGAAUGGCAUAUGG
rnacentral:rRNA from 1 species